CUGAGUGAAGUAGGUAGUUUCGUGUUGUUGGGCCUGGCUUUCUGAACACAACAACACCAAACCACCUGAUUCACUGCAGU
ensembl:miRNA Mir196c microRNA 196c